rnacentral:tRNA from 2 species
GGGCCCGUAGCUCAGCUAGGUAGAGCGCCGGGCUCUUAACCCGGUGGUCGCGGGUUCAAAUCCCGCCGGGCCCG